UACGGGGGGGGCAAGCGUUGUUCGGAAUUACUGGGCGUAAAGGGCGCGUAGGCGGCCUUCUAAGUCGAACGUGAAAUCCCCGGGCUCAACCCGGGAACUGCGUCCGAUACUGGAAGGCUUGAAUCCGGGAGAGGGAUGCGGAAUUCCAGGUGUAGCGGUGAAAUGCGUAGAUAUCUGGAGGAACACCGGUGGCGAAGGCGGCAUCCUGGACCGACACUGACGCUGAGGAGCGAAAGCCAGGGGAGCAAACGGG
rnacentral:rRNA from 1 species